rnacentral:rRNA from 1 species
CCUACGGGGUGCAGCAGUGGGGAAUAUUGGACAAUGGGGGGAACCCUGAUCCAGCGACGCCGCGUGAGUGAAGAAGUCUUUCGGUAUGUAAAGCUCUAUCAGCAGGGAAGAAAGAAAUGACGGUACCUGACUAAGAAGCCCCGGCUAACUACGUGCCAGCAGCCGCGGUAAUACGGAGGGGGCAAGCGUUAUCCGGAUUUACUGGGUGUAAAGGGAGCGUAGACGGCGAUGCAAGUCUGAAGUGAAAGGCGGGGGCCCAACCCCUGGACUGCUUUGGAAACUGUAUGGCUGGAGUGCAGGAGAGGUAAGUGGAAUUCCUAGUGUAGCGGUGAAAUGCGUAGAUAUUAGGAGGAACACCAGUGGCGAAGGCGGCUUACUGGACUGUAACUGACGUUGAGGCUCGAAAGCGUGGGGAGCAAACAGGAUUAGAUACCCGUGUAGUC